UGUCGGGUAAGUUCCGACCCGCACGAAAGGCGUAACGAUUUGGGCACUGUCUCAACGAGAGACUCGGUGAAAUCAUAGUACCUGUGAAGAUGCAGGUUACCCGCGACAGGACGGAAAGACCCCAUGGAGCUUUACUGCAGUUUGAUAUUGAGUGUCUGUACCACAUGUACAGGAUAGGUAGGAGCCUAUGACCUCGGGACGCCAGUUUCGAGUGAGGCGUUGUUGGGAUACUACCCUUGCUGUAUUGAAAUUCUAACCCU
rnacentral:rRNA from 13 species